UACGAAGGGUGCUAGCGUUGUUCGGAAUUACUGGGCGUAAAGCGCACGCAGGCGGCUUGUCAAGUUAGAUGUGAAAGCCCGGGGCUUAACCCCGGAAUUGCAUUUGAAACUGGCUCGCUAGAGAUAGGUAGAGGAGAGUGGAAUUCCGAGUGUAGAGGUGAAAUUCGUAGAUAUUGGGAGGAACACCGGAGGCGAAGGCGGCUCUCUUGACCUAUUCUGACGCUCAUGUGCGAAAGCGUGGGGAGCAAACAGG
rnacentral:rRNA from 1 species